UACAGAGGGUGCGAGCGUUAAUCGGAAUUACUGGGCGUAAAGCGUGCGCAGACGGUCAUGUAAGUCGGGUGUGAAAGCCCCCGGGCUCAACCUGGGAAUUGCAUUCGAGACUGCAUGGCUAGGGUGCGGAAGAGGGAAGCGGAAUUUCCGGUGUAGCGGUGAAAUGCGUAGAUAUCGGAAGGAACACCAGUGGCGAAAGCGGCUUCCUGGUCCAGCACCGACGUUCAGGCACGAAAGCGUGGGGAGCAAACAGG
rnacentral:rRNA from 1 species